AACACGGUGGUCUAGCGAUCAGAACGCUGGCCUUGUAAUCCUGGGGUCUCGGGUUCGAUUCCCGGCGGUGCCC
rnacentral:tRNA from 1 species